GUUAGGUGAACCUGCGGAAGGAUCAUUA
rnacentral:rRNA from 1 species